GGAAGAGGCAAUAAGGGAAACAUAGGAAGAGGCAGGUGUUGAAGUGGAAGUCAUUUCCCCUUUUGCACAACUGGAUAUUCCCCUUAUUGGACAAACAUAUGUAAUCUUCUUGGCAAAGCUGAAGAAGCCCCAAUUUUCACCAGGACUAGAAUCAUCCGAGUGCUGUCUCUUUGAAUUGGACGACAUUCCCUUUGAUUCUUUGGCAUUUUCUUCCAUUUUUGUUACUUUGAAUUUGGUAUGAGCUUUUUGUUUUUCUUUCUUUCCAUAAAUGUAAAUGUGCUUAAAAUUUAUCUAAAAA